AAUUUCCCCUUGAGGUCUGAUGAAGAAAGACGGGCAACAAAAAGACAAAUGAGGCAUACUGAAAAGAAUGCACAAAAGGCAAGCAUGACUGCUGAGUUGCAACUUUUGGAUGUA